GCAGCCACCUCGGGGUGCCCCGGAUGGGGGCUGAGAUGCAGGCGCGGCCUGCGAACCCGUCGAACCUGAACCGGUUAGCACCGGCGGAGGGAAGGGAACGGGUCCAUGC
rnacentral:ncRNA from 2 species